rnacentral:rRNA from 1 species
UACGUAGGGCGCAAGCGUUGUCCGGAUUUAUUGGGCGUAAAGAGCGUGUAGGCGGCUUUACAGGUCCGUUGUGAAAACUCGAGGCUCAACCUCGAGACGCCGGUGGAAACCGUAAAGCUAGAGUCCGGAAGAGGAGAGUGGAAUUCCUGGUGUAGCGGUGAAAUGCGCAGAUAUCAGGAGGAACACCCGUGGCGAAAAGCGGCUCUCUGGGACGGUACUGACGCUGAGACGCGAAAGCGUGGGGAGCAAACAGG